UCUUGGCCAGCCUUCUGAAAGGAAGAUUAAUCCAGGAUGGGAUCAUGAGUUCACAUGUCCGCAUGAUUAAAGGUAUUUUCCGGUAGACGAUGGGGAUGCGUUCCAUUAGAUAGUAGGCGGGGUAACGGCCCACCUAGUCAACGAUGGAUAGGGGUUCUGAGAGGAAGGUCCCCCACAUUGGAACUGAGACACGGUCCAAACUCCUACGGGAGGCAGCAGUGAGGAAUAUUGGUCAAUGGGCGAUGGCCUGAACCAGCCAAGUAGCGUGAAGGAUGACUGCCCUAUGGGUUGUAAACUUCUUUUAUAAAGGAAUAAAGUCGGGUAUGCAUACCCGUUUGCAUGUACUUUAUGAAUAAGGAUCGGCUAACUCCGUGCCAGCAGCCGCGGUAAUACGGAGGAUCCGAGCGUUAUCCGGAUUUAUUGGGUUUAAAGGGAGCGUAGAUGGAUGUUUAAGUCAGUUGUGAAAGUUUGCGGCUCAACCGUAAAAUUGCAGUUGAUACUGGAUGUCUUGAGUGCAGUUGAGGCAGGCGGAAUUCGUGGUGUAGCGGUGAAAUGCUUAGAUAUCACGAAGAACUCCGAUUGCGAAGGCAGCCUGCUAAGCUGCAACUGACAUUGAGGCUCGAAAGUGUGGGUAUCAAACAGGAUUAGAUACCCUGGUAGUCCACACGGUAAACGAUGAAUACUCGCUGUUUGCGAUAUACGGCAAGCGGCCAAGCGAAAGCGUUAAGUAUUCCACCUGGGGAGUACGCCGGCAACGGUGAAACUCAAAGGAAUUGACGGGGGCCCGCACAAGCGGAGGAACAUGUGGUUUAAUUCGAUGAUACGCGAGGAACCUUACCCGGGCUUAAAUUGCACUCGAAUGAUCCGGAAACGGUUCAGCUAGCAAUAGCGAGUGUGAAGGUGCUGCAUGGUUGUCGUCAGCUCGUGCCGUGAGGUGUCGGCUUAAGUGCCAUAACGAGCGCAACCCUUGUUGUCAGUUACUAACANGUGAUGCUGAGGACUCUGACAAGACUGCCAUCGUAAGA
rnacentral:rRNA from 1 species